AGCAGCCCCUUCAAAACCGAGCUGUGUGCCCGGGCUGAGCUCCCACCGCGCUCCUGCACGACCCCCGCCACGGCCCCGCGCUGCCGGCCCGGCCUGCCGCGGCUCUGGACAGCCCCACCAUGGCUGGUAUCCGGCGAGGCCACUGUGACCCCGGGAGCUGCAGUGUGGCACUGCGUGUAUUUGACAAGCUGAGUCCGACACUCAGUGUGCAGAGUGUCAGUUUGUCAAAUACCCCAAGUGAGGCACUGCUGAGCAACGCGACGCCGAGGGUGCAGCCCUUUCCUCCUGCUCUGGCAGGAGCCUUCCUCUCCAGAAACCCAGCGAGGUACUGAGCAACCCAUCCCAUUGUUCCAGAGCACCUGACUGAUCCUGUGCUGCCAGCUUUCCCUUCCACCCCGGUUUUGGAAGUAUCUGUUGGGGUACCCCUUCCAAUAGUAAAUCAGAGCAGAAGUGGUGCUGGUGCAACUUCUCUGCACUGUGAAAACAGGGAAUUGAGCCCUAGGUCCUUGUUGUUUGCAUCCAAAUACAAUGCUGUUCUCUUACACUAGCCAGCUGUAAAUUAAGCUCAGAUAACAAGCAUCCUUGCAACUACAAUCACAUCAUCAUGGCUAAAGGCAGCAUUAUCCAUAAUAAAGAAUCUUGCCUUUGCACAUGUAGUAAUCUUUCUUAUAUGGAGUACAAACUAAUGAGGCUGCUCAUUAACGUCCCUCUGACCCAUUAGCCUGUGAAAAAUGCAUGUUUGCUCAAUCUGUUUUAAAUUAGGCCAUGGAGUCCAUUGCCCCUCCUGUGAACCCUGCUGUUUGGAGAACACUUCUUGUCUUUGCAUGGUUAUUCCUAGUGAGCACUUGCAGCAAGGUUGCCUAUUCUGCUAUUUAAUGAAAGUAAUUCCCUCUAAAUCAUCUUCAUUACUUGAAGAUGUAAUGAUUGCUAAGUGUUUUCAGUAACUGACUUGUAGCAUUUCAGAUAUGUCAGGGUAGGGGAACGACAGCGGAAGCAUCCAGCCCAGUUUGACAAAUCAAACUCUUUGAGAGCAUUUGACAUGGAAAACUCAAAAAUAAAAAAAAAAAAAAUCCCAAGAUUCUACUGACUAGUUUUAGGACAGUACCACCAGCAAAUUUGGAAAUAUUUGAGAGUAUUAAUAAACUUGAAUACUAA